ACCAUUAGGAAGUGUGGCUUUGUUGGAGUGGGUAUGGCCCUGUUGGAGAAAGUGUGUUACUGUGGAAGAGGCUUCAAGAUUUCCUAUGCUCAGGAUACUGCCUGCUAUGUCAGUUGAUUUCCUGUUGCUCCAGCACCACGUUGCCACGAUCCCCAUGAUGAUGAUAAUGGACUGAACCUCUGCAACUAAGAAACCAACCACCCUGGACUGGCCCAACACCAAGCUCCUCUAAUUGUUCAACUAACCAGUUCAGCUACCUCCAUCCACAUUGAACAAUACCCAGUGACCUUGGAAACAAAAGUGAAAAUUGAAGUCCAUAUUGCCUGGCUUGAAGGGACAGGCUUCCUGGUGUCCUGCCAGUCACCCUGGAAUGUGCCUCUCCUGCCUGUGAAGAAACUUGGGACCUCUGAUUCUCAUGAGCCUGAUUCUUCCAGAGAAACAGGUACACACGGUCUUGGACCUGAAAGGGGUACUCUUCCUACAGGCAGAGGAGUCAACCCAUCUUUGCUUUUAAAUGGCCAGACCCAGUGGGAAGUUACAGCAGGUAACUUACAUGGACCAGGUUGCCCAAAGAUUUAGAAAUUUGCCAACCCUGUUUGAUGAGACACUAAAUGCUGUCCUCCUGCCCUCCUGUCAGAGAUUUCCCAGGAAAAUAGAUUGUAAAAGGACCACUGAGGGGCUGCUGCAAGGAUUACAGACUACAGAAUGUUUGGCUAAGAAAGCCCAACUUUGUACAUCAGAGGCUAUAUAUCUUGGCUACCAGCUAAGCGGAGGCAAAAAGGAGCCUGUCUCAGAGGAGGAUUGCUGCCACUCAAAGACUAAGAGACAGAUUGGAAGGCUCCUGGUGCAGCUGGCUAUUGCUGCCUCUGGAUACCAGAAUUUAUGGAAAUAGCAAGGCACAAGGGGGGCACUGAGCCCCUAAUCUGAAAUGGGACUAAACCAAAGACAAGAGGGGUUUUAAUCCAAAUGUUGGAGGCAUAGGAAUGCCCUAUGAUAUACCUAUCCAAAUGACUGGA
rnacentral:lncRNA from 1 species